rnacentral:rRNA from 1 species
GAUGAACGCUGGCGGCGUGCCUAAUACAUGCAAGUCGAGCGAACAGACGAGGAGCUUGCUCCUCUGACGUUAGCGGCGGACGGGUGAGUAACACGUGGAUAACCUACCUAUAAGACUGGGAUAACUUCGGGAAACCGGAGCUAAUACCGGAUAAUAUAUUGAACCGCAUGGUUCAAUAGUGAAAGACGGUUUUGCUGUCACUUAUAGAUGGAUCCGCGCCGCAUUAGCUAGUUGGUAAGGUAACGGCUUACCAAGGCAACGAUGCGUAGCCGACCUGAGAGGGUGGUCGGCCACACUGGAACUGAGACACGGUCCAGACUCCUACGGGAGGCAGCAGUAGGGAAUCUUACGCGAUGGGCGAGAGCCUGACGGAGCAACGCCGCGUGAGUGAUGAAGGUCUUCGGAUCGUAAAACUGUGUUAUUAGGGAAGAACAAAUGUGUAAGUAACUAUGCACGUCUUGACGGUACCUAAUCAGAAAGCCACGGCUAACUACGUG